rnacentral:rRNA from 1 species
GACGAACGCUGGCGGCGCGCCUAACACAUGCAAGUCGAACGGGGCAUACUUGAUGAAGUUUUCGGACGGAAUCGGGUAUAGCUUAGUGGCGGACGGGUGAGUAACACGUGAGCAACCUGCCUAUCAGAGGGGGAUAACGAUUGGAAACGAUCGCUAAUACCGCAUAACGCAGCGAGGAGGCAUCUUCAUGCUGCCAAAGAAAUAUCGCUGAUAGAUGGGGCUCGCGUCCGAUUAGAUAGUUGGUGAGGUAACGGCCCACCAAGUCGACGAUCGGUAGCCGGACUGAGAGGUCGAACGGCCACAUUGGGACUGAGACACGGCCCAGACUCCUACGGGAGGCAGCAGUGGGGGAUAUUGCACAAUGGGGGAAACCCUGAUGCAGCGACGCCGCGUGAGGGAAGACGGUCCUCUGGAUUGUAAACCUCUGUCUUCGGGGACGAACAAAAUGACGGUAACCGAGUAGGAAGCCACGGCU